ensembl:miRNA
UUCCUGUCUGCUCUGAAUGUAGCGUGGCCCACUAGCUACAUUCAGACUGCUGGGGUGAA